UAUGCUUAGCGUUGGUAUACCUUGCUAGUAUCAUGAAGGAGCAAAGCAGCUAAAAUGAACCUCGACCGCAUGGAUAUAUUUGGGUUUGUUUUCUCCUCCGUUUUUUCUCAUUCUUGGCAAAGAUACAGGGGUUGUUUGGUUGGUGUCCUGAGCAUGUCGUGUCUGGUCGGAGGCCUCCCUGUGAUCUGCGUGAGACUUGUUUGGUUGGUGUCCUGAGAAAUCAAUUGCUAGCCUGGCCUGGACAACACGGGAGCAUCAUUAGCCUGGCUCAGGCGCUCAAAAUCGGAGGCCUGACUCUGCACACGCGCGUCUGAGAUGCUAAUCACUUCUAACAAGAGAGAAGAUUCAGUGGAGAGGAAAAGCGACAGCAUAGCGGCAAGGUUAGCUCGCCACCGCGUCGCCGGCGUCAGCUACAGCCGUCGCAGCCUUGAAGCCUACGUACAAGUUCAGCGGCCGCCGCGUAUGAAUCGUAGGACUGGAAGACGAGCUCGCUCUGUAGAUCGCCAGCGGACCUUGCUCCAACCGAUGGGCUUGCCGGUGGAGCAAGAUGAUCCAUGGAUCCUCGUCCCUAUUUUCUCCGGCCACAGGUUGCCGGGAGAUUAGAGAACAUGCGGAGGAGUUUGGCACCUUCCAGGCAAGCAGUAGCUUCAGCAGAUUCGGCGUUGGGGCAGUUCAUCAAGCUGUUCCAAGCUCAAGCGAUGACGACACCGUGGUGAUCUCUAAUGAUAGCGCCCCAAGAAGCCGAGUCGUCGGAGAUGGUGAAGCUCGCAUCCACAUUAACUUUAACCAUACCUUGGAUUGGGGGGCGCCAACCAGAGGAGGCAGCGGCAGGAGCUGGACUCUGCCGAGGAAGGGGAUUUAGUACGUUGUACGUAAUCUCUGUUCCAAAAUACAUCUCAUAUUGAUUUGUGCAUUUGUACCAAUGCAGCUCUCGUUUCUAGUGCUUGACCACUCAUAUUGGGUUAAUAAUAAAUGAAUGUGAAUAGUUAUUGGACGGGUGCGGAUACCAAAAAAAAAAGAGGUGUAUUGUGGAACAAAUGAGAAAAAUAUAUACACGUUGUAUUGUGGAAUGGAGCCCGAGAGUACUCUUGCUGGUC